rnacentral:rRNA from 1 species
UACGUAGGGUGCAAGCGUUAAUCGGAAUUACUGGGCGUAAAGCGUGCGCAGGCGGCUUUGCAAGACAGAUGUGAAAUCCCCGGGCUCAACCUGGGAACUGCAUUUGUGACUGCAAGGCUAGAGUACGGUAGAGGGGGAUGGAAUUCCGCGUGUAGCAGUGAAAUGCGUAGAUAUGCGGAGGAACACCGAUGGCGAAGGCAAUCCCCCUGGACCUGUACUGACGCUCAUGCACGAAAGCGUGGGGAGCAAACAGG